rnacentral:rRNA from 1 species
UACAGAGGGUGCGAGCGUUGUCCGGAAUCACUGGGCGUAAAGGGCGCGUAGGCGGCUUGAUAAGCGUGCGGUGAAAGCCCGGGGCUCACCCCGGGUCGGCCGUGCGAACUGUCGAGCUGGAGCACUGUAGAGGCAGGUGGAAUUCCGGGUGUAGCGGUGGAAUGCGUAGAGAUCCGGAGGAACACCGGUGGCGAAGGCGGGUCUCUGGGCCGAUACUGACGUGGAGGAGCGAAAGCGUGGGGAGCGAACAGG